AUUGAACGCUGGCGGCAGGCCUAACACAUGCAAGUCGAACGAGUGGCGGACGGGAGAGUAAUGUCUGGGAAAUUGCGCGAGGGAGGGGGAAAACUACGGGAAACGGAAGCAAAUACCGCAUACCAUCGGAUGUGCCCAGAUGGGAUUAGCUAGUGGGUGGGGUAACGGCUCACCUAGGCGACGAUCCCUAGCUGGUCUGAGAGGAUGACCAGCCACACUGGAACUGAGACACGGUCCAGACUCCUACGGGAGGCAGCAGUGGGGAAUAUUGCCCAAUGGGCGCAAGCCUGAUGCAGCCAUGCCGCGUGUGUGAAGAAGGCCUUCGGGUUGUAAAGUACUUUCAGCGAGGAGGCGUUACUCGCAGAAGAAGCACCGGCUAACUCCGUGCCAGCAGCCGCGGUAAUUC
rnacentral:rRNA from 1 species